GAUGAACGCUGGCGGCGUGCCUAAUACAUGCCAGUCGAGCGAACAGACGAGGAGCUUGCUCCUCUGACGUUAGCGGCGGACGGGUGAGUAACACGUGGAUAACCUACCUAUAAGACUGGGAUAACUUCGGGAAACCGGAGCUAAUACCGGAUAAUAUAUUGAACCGCAUGGUUCAAUAGUGAAAGACGGUUUUGCUGUCACUUAUAGAUGGAUCCGCGCCGCAUUAGCUAGUUGGUAAGGUAACGGCUUACCAAGGCAACGAUGCGUAGCCGACCUGAGAGGGUGAUCGGCCACACUGGAACUGAGACACGGUCCAGACUCCUACGGGAGGCAGCAGUAGGGAAUCUUCCGCAAUGGGCGAAAGCCUGACGGAGCAACGCCGCGUGAGUGAUGAAGGUCUUCGGAUCGUAAAACUCUGUUAUUAGGGAAGAACAAAUGUGUAAGUAACUAUGCACGUCUUGACGGCACCUAAUCAGAAAGCCACGGCUAACUACGUG
rnacentral:rRNA from 1 species